GAGAACCUCCUAGCACCCCAGAACUCCCAGACAGAAUGUUAGGUAAUGCCAAUGAGCACAGAUCAAUCAUCUGCACAAUCUGAAGACGGAGCACUUUCCAUGGAGUGCUGAUGAAGUGCCAGGGUCCUAGGCUCCUUCUGGUGUGCCACCCCUCGGACAAGUCUCUCAGCCUCAAGGUCCAGGAUGGCAACAUCUGUCCAAACAGCAAGAUGGAGAACAGGACAGGAUAGGAACGAAGUAGGAGAGGGGCCAAGGACUCAUGCUGGCAUCCCGCCAGCCUUUUGACACGAGUCACCCUUCCGCCACUUUAUAAAAAAAGGUAGGCCUCUUAUCAGUGGUAGGCAAUAGCAGGGUAGUGAAAACCGUUUCCCCACCACCGCCAAGGCAGGGAAUAGAGGCUGCAUUGUCCUUAGAGAAUUGUAAAUGAGUAAGCAACCGAAAGUUCUUUGUUAUCCCCUGGGCCAGCAAUCCUAAACAAUGUCAGUGAUAAAACAUUCCUCCCUGAAAAAGUAUUUUAUUGGUCUAAGUUCUAAAUCUAAAUAAAUGCUGUCAUUACCACUGAGUUUUAAUUAUAUGUGAACUUCGGCCGGGCACAGUGGCUCACGCCUGUAAUCCCAGCACUUUGGGAGGCCAAGGCAGGUGGAUCACCCGAGGUUAAGAGUUCGAGACCAGCCUGGCCAACAUGGUGAAACCCCAUCUCUACUAAAAAUACAAAAAUUAGCCAGGCAUGGUAGUGCACGCCUGUAAUCUCAGCUACUCAGGAGGCUGAGGCAGGAGAAUCAC
rnacentral:lncRNA from 1 species